UACGUAGGUGGCGAGCGUUGUCCGGAUUUACUGGGCGUAAGAGCGCGCAGGCGGUCGUUCAAGUCGCGUGUGAAAGCCCCCGGCUCAACUGGGGAGGGUCACGCGAUACUGAUCGACUCGAAGGCAGGAGAGGGAAGUGGAAUUCCCGGUGUAGUGGUGAAAUGCGUAGAUAUCGGGAGGAACACCAGUGGCGAAGGCGACUUCCUGGCCUGUUCUUGACGCUGAGGCGCGAAAGCUAGGGGAGCAAACAGG
rnacentral:rRNA from 1 species